UACGUAGGGGGCGAGCGUUGUCCGGAUUUAUUGGGCGUAAAGAGCUCGUAGGCGGCUGUUCGAGUCGGGUGUGAAACCCCAGGGCUUAACUCUGGGCCUGCAUUCGAUACUGGGCGGCUUGAGUCUGGUAGGGGGAUCUGGAAUUCCUGGUGUAGCGGUGGAAUGCGCAGAUAUCAGGAGGAACACCGGUGGCGAAGGCGGCAUCCUGGACCGGCAUUGACGCUGAGGAGCGAAAGCUAGGGGAGCAAACGGG
rnacentral:rRNA from 1 species